UACGAAGGGGGCUAGCGUUGUUCGGAAUCACUGGGCGUAAAGCGCACGCAGGCGGAUUGAUAAGUCAGGGGUGAAAUCCCGGAGCUCAACUUCGGAAUUGCCUUUGAUACUGUCAAUCUCGAGUCCGGGAGAGGUGAGUGGAAUUCCUAGUAUAGAGGUGAAAUUCGUAGAUAUUAGGAAGAACACCAGUGGCGAAGGCGGCUCACUGGCCCGGUACUGACGCUCAUGUGCGAAAGCGUGGGGAGCAAACAGG
rnacentral:rRNA from 1 species